rnacentral:rRNA from 1 species
UACGGAGGAUGCAAGCGUUAUCCGGAUUUAUUAGGUUUAAAGGGUGCGUAGGCGGUACAGUAAGUCAGAGGUGAAAAUCAGAUGCUUAACAUCUGACUUGCCUUUGAUACUGCUGAACUUGAGUACAGACGAAGUAUGCGGAAUGUGUAAUGUAGCGGUGAAAUGCAUAGAUAUUACACAGAACACCGAUAGCGAAGGCAGCAUACUAGGGUGUCACUGACGCUGAGGCACGAAAGCGUGGGGAUCAAACAGG